GCGGGUGUAACUCAGUGGUAGAGUAUCAGCUUCCCAAGCUGAGGGUCGCGGGUUCAACUCCCGUCGCCCGCUCCA
rnacentral:tRNA from 1 species